rnacentral:tRNA from 1 species
CCCUGGGUGGUGCAAAUGGUUAACAUGUUUGGCUGCUAACCAAAAGGUUGGAGGUUCGAGUUCACUCAAAGGCA